ACUGAGCUUCUCUCUAUUUUGCUUCAAUACCAGAAAUCUACUUUCUCUUGAUUUUCCUCUGCUGAACUUGCUACGAGGACUGGUAUAAUCUAGGUGGUUUUCAGGUAGGAGGUGGGAUCAAUUCAGAUAAUUCUUUGCAAUACAUAGAAGAAGGGGCUAGCCACGUCAUUGUCACUUCUUAUGUAUUUAAUAAUGGGCAAAACCUUGAAAGGCUUAAAGAUCUUGUUCGUGUUGUUGGAAAAGAAAGGCUUGUUUUAGACCUUAGCUGUAGAAAGAGGGUAUGAAGUUAUCCA